ACGCUCGACACCUACGGAGGCAGCAGUCGGGAAUAUUGCGCAAUGGAGGAAACUCUGACGCAGUGACGCCGCGUAUAGGAAGAAGGUCUUCGGAUUGUAAACUAUUGUCGUUAGGGAAGAAAAAGGACAGUACCUAAGGAGGAAGCUCCGGCUAACUACGUGCCUGCAGCCGCGGUAAUCUGAGGCGGGCUGGCAAGGC
rnacentral:rRNA from 1 species